CAAAGACAGAAAAACAAAAGUACCGACUCCGCCGGGACUCGAACCCGGAACCUUUGAAUCCCUUCAAACCGCUAGAAGUCCAAUGCGCUAUCCAUUGCGCCACGGAGCCACCUGUUGGACGUACGUUAAAAAUAGCCUAUUCAUACCCAAACAAAUGGCGGCCAUUAUUCCUCGCACCUCUACACACUUCGCAAUUCGUUUUAUUUUACCUUCCGUGAUGGACGCCUAGCACGCCGUCGCUUUUCAGCCGCCGUUUAUUUUCUUUUUACCGUCUUUGUGCAUCUAUAAUAUCAGUGUGUGUGCGUGCGUGUCUGAGAGAAGAUGGAUGCCUUCGCCGCCAUACCCGCCUCCACCGCUAGGAGCUGCUUGUCCCCGGAUUGGGAAGGGGAAGGGGAAAGGGAGGCGUUGCUCCGGGCAACCAGCACCCAGCCGCCUUCCCCUCCCCCUCCCCCCAGCGCUCCAGCCAACGGCCAGGGCCGUUUCAAAUGGUGGGGGGAGGGAGCCGAGCCCGCGCGCCGCGGCCGUUGGGGCGCGUGACAGGCGUUUCAAAAUGGCGGGCGGCGUCGCCAACUUUUCAGAUACCUGAAUGAAGGGGCAGGACUCCGAAAGCUGGUGCUUCCAAAUAAACCUGUUGGAUUAUAACCUGGUGUUGUGUGAUUUUUAACUUUGUCCUCCUCAGUCCAACACCGGCACCUCCACAUCUUCUAGGUGAACAAUAAUACUUAAUAGUGAGUGAUUGCCACUGCCUCCCUCCUGCUAAUUUUUCAUCCUUUGGCAAUCAGUGAAGACAGAGAGGGAAGAGUUAAUAUUUAAGAUCUUGUAACAAUGUAAUUAACACAUGGUAACAUCACAGGAAGACUCCAUUGUUAACUGUAAUAAUGUUAGUGAGUCACAAAAUGAGCAUAGACUUGUAUCGACCUUGUGAAUGGAAGUACAGCAAACCGAAGGAAGGAGGACAGAAGGCAAGGAGGCACUUGCAGAAGAGCUUGUGAAUACCACACUUAAUAUCUAGUGUACGAAUCAAAUCAAGAUGGACAAAGGCUAUCAAGUUGGAACAUCUGCUGACAACAGCAGUCAGGAAGAAAGGCAGUUUCUUGCGAAGUGUACACGUAACUUGUAGAUUCAUAAAAUUGUAUAAAUAAACCAGCCCAGGCUGUAUUCGAUGAGAAGUCUGGGCACCCGUUUGAGGACUUGACAUCUCCCAAAAGCUUUUGUCAAUAAACUCUGUUUGACUCAUUA